rnacentral:hammerhead_ribozyme from 1 species
GUCCAGAUGACGAGUCCCAAAUAGAACGAAAUGCACAUCCUGGGU